AAUGAAGUUCCUUCGGGAACGGAUUUAGCGGCGGACGGGUGAGUAACACGUGGGCAACCUGCCUCAUAGAGGGGAAUAGCCUUCCGAAAGGGAGAUUAAUACCGCAUAAGAUUGUAGUACCGCAUGGUACAGCAAUUAAAGGAGCAAUCCGCUAUGAGAUGGGCCCGCGGCGCAUUAGCUAGUUGGUGAGGUAACGGCUCACCAAGGCGACGAUGCGUAGCCGACCUGAGAGGGUGAUCGGCCACAUUGGGACUGAGACACGGCCCAGACUCC
rnacentral:rRNA from 1 species